rnacentral:rRNA from 1 species
CAACGACAAGUUGGAGGAAGUGGGGAUGACGUCAAAUCAUCAUGCCCUUAUGACCUGGGCUACAAACGUACUACAAUGGCCAAUACAAAGAGAUGCGAAGCGGUGACGUGGAGCGAACCUCAGAAAGUUGGUCUCAGUUCAGAUUGAAGUCUGCAACUCGACUUCAUGAAGGCGGAAUCGCUAGUAAUCGCGGGUCAGCAGACCGCGGUGAAUACGUUCCCGGGUUU